rnacentral:rRNA from 1 species
AAUGUUGCACAAUGCACGCAAGCCUGAUCCAGCCACGCCGCGUGAGUGAAGAAGGCCUGCGGUUUGUAAAGCUCUUUCCGACGGAAAGAAAUCGUGCAGGCCUAUACCGUGCAAGCAUGACGGUACCAGCAUAAGAAACACCGGCUAAUUACGUGCCAGCAGCCGCGGUAAUACGUAGGGGGCGAGCGUUACUCGGAAUUAUUGGGAGUAAAGAGUGGGCAGGCGGUUGAUUAAGAUACGCGUGAAAGACCCGGGCUUAACCUGGGAACUGCGAUUGUGACUGGUAGGCUAGAGUACGGCAGAGGGGGAUGGAAUUCCACGUGUAGCAGUGAAAUGCGUAGAGAUGUGGAGGAACACCGAUGGCGAAGGCGGCACCCUGGGACGAUACUGACGCUCAUGCACGAAAGCGUGGGUAGCAAACAGG